CCAGUUCCUGCCUGAAUGAAAGGUUCCGGCGAAGCGGCGAGCACAACCGGCGUGGUGUACAGGCUUAGGGAAUGCGAAAGCAGAAUAAGGAUAAAGUCAUCAGCUGCUGCCCCAGAAUGUGCCUGCAUGCCACCAUGCUUCCUGCCAUGAUGAUAAUGGACUAAACCUUUGAAACUAAACUUUCCUGAAAAUUCAAGGAAAGACAAAAAAUGAUGGCUGAUGGGACCAACAGUGAGACAUCUUCAUUCUGCUCCAGUGGUUAAGACGGUGCUGUUUUUCAGGGAUGUCAGACAUCUGCUGCAUGAGGC